rnacentral:rRNA from 2 species
CAGGACGUCACAGAGGGUGAGAAUCCCGUACGUGGUCGCUAGCCUUGGCCGUGUAAAGCCCCUUCGACGAGUCGAGUUGUUUGGGAAUGCAGCUCUAAAUGGGAGGUAAAUUUCUUCUAAAGCUAAAUACUGGCCAGAGACCGAUAGCGCACAAGUAGAGUGAUCGAAAGAUGAAAAGCACUUUGGAAAGAGAGUCAAAUAGCACGUGAAAUUGUUGAAAGGGAAGCGCUUGCAGCCAGACUUGCCUGUAGUUGCUUAUCCGGACUUUUGUCCGGUGCACUCUUCUGCGGGCAGGCCAGCAUCAGUUUAGGCGGUUGGAUAAAGGUCUCUAUCACGUACCUCCCUUCGGGGUUGGCCUUAUAGGGGAGACGACAUGCAGCCAGCCUGAACUGAGGUCCGCGCAUCUGCUAGGAUGCUGGCGUAAUGGCUGUAAGCGGCCCGUCUUGAAACACGGACCAAGGAGUCUAACAUCUAUGCGAGUGUUUGGGUGUCAAGCCCAGACGCGUAAUGAAAGUGAACGGAGGUGGGAACCUUUUAGGUGCACCAUCGACCGAUCCUGAUGUCUUCGGAUGGAUUUGAGUAAGAGCAUGGCUGUUGGGACCCGAAAGAUGGUGAACUAUGCUUGAAUAGGGUGAAGCCAGAGGAAACUCUGGUGGAGGCUCGCAGCGGUUCUGACGUGCAAAUCGAUCGUCAAAUU